rnacentral:rRNA from 1 species
ACGUUACCUAAAGAAUAAGCACCGGCUAACUCUGUGCCAGCAGCCGCGGUAAUACAGAGGGUGCAAGCGUUAAUCGGAAUUACUGGGCGUAAAGGGUGCGUAGGUGGAUACGUAAGUCAGAUGUGAAAUCCCCGGGCUUAACCUGGGAACUGCAUAUGAUACUGCGAAUCUAGAGUAUGGUAGAGGUAAGUGGAAUUUCCGGUGUAGCGGUGAAAUGCGUAGAUAUCGGAAGGAACAUCAGUGGCGAAGGCGACUUACUGGACUGAUACUGACACUGAGGCACGAAAGCGUGGGGAGCAAACAGGAUUAGAUACCCUGGUAGUCCAUGCUGUAAACGAUGAGAACUAGAUGUUAGGGGGCAUGACCUCUUAGUAUCGAAGCUAACGCGAUAAGUUCUCCGCCUGGGGAGUACGGCCGCAAGGUUAAAACUCAAAGAAAUUGACGGGGGCCCGCACAAGCGGUGGAGCAUGUGGUUUAAUUCGAUGCAACGCGAAGAACCUUACCUACCUUUGAAUCCACAGAACCUAGCAGAGAUGUUGGGGUGCCUUC